CCUAUUUCCCGGGCCGUUGUGCAGAGGUGUGUGUACGUGGGAAGGUAAUCGGGAAACUGGGCGUGCUCCAUCCUGGUGUGUCUGUUGUGCAGCUCUAGUGUGUGUGAGACUGGGAGGUGUGUCUGGUGCAGCUGUUCUCACGGCCUCCUCCAACCAGUACCUGCCCUCCGUACUCUCCAGGGAGAACCUAUCUCCUCAGGGUCUCCAUGGUGCUGGUGGUGGGCGUCAAAACUGGUACGGCCAAGGUCAAGGUCUGUCUGAGGGAGAGGGCGUGACAGGGGGUGGAGCCUGAUAUCAUCAAGCUACUAGUCAUUGAGAACAUGAUUCUACAACCCUCCAUGGAUGUGUACAUUCUUCCACUGUCCUUUGUCGAGUUCGGGUGGAGAGAUGGAAGUAUGGGAGGUUAGAGGUCAUCACCAUGCCAUCAGAGCAGUAUUCAUUGGAGCUGACCAAUACGACAGUGGGGAGACUCCACUCACAGAGGUCAAGGGUCACCGGACUGGAACUUCAAUGUACGUGGUGAUCGUCCAAUCAGAAUGCUCUACCCAUGCACCCCCCAGACCUCCUCACUACAACACAAGGACUCAGAUAAUCGAUGCUGCAUUGAGAGAGUUAGAGCUCCUGUUACUAAAACUAUACAAGACAGAGGACUAAGUCUAAGAAGAGUGCAACACGUACCUCUAAAGGCAAGUUAAUGCUGAUUCAGCAAAUAUUAAUGUUAGGCGUACGGUUGUCGGACCUCCUCUGCACACAGACACACAAACACACUACCGUAACCUCGCUUGCGCAUGCGCACCGAGGCAUGAUUAAUAAAUAGUUGGCCCAAUUUCAGUUCAAUACCAUGGACUACAGUCCUGGUCUUUUUCUAAUUUUGUAGCAUUCAAAAUGUGGGGGUUGAUUGCGCCAUUUUAUAGAGCUUCUUCUUAGCUUUCAUAAAACCAUAAAACUAUUGAAAUUGCAUACAUACAAAAUGCACACACACACACACACCCACAUACACACACCCACACACACACACCCACACACACACACACACACACACACACACACACACACAUACACACAAUGCAAGUGACCCCCAAAAACCUCGUCAUUCUCUGGGACCCCCAAACAGAGUUCAAAUACCAGCACCAAUUGAAUGUUCAACGUCACUAUCCUGAGCUGUACCAAUAUUUAGAGUACAAAGUGCACGUAAGAACAGUUCAUACGAACAUUUGCAUCAAAGAAAAGUGUAGUAGACACUUGUAUAAUUCCGAUUGUAAUACAUUUUUUAUAUCAGGUGACUGAAUGGUCUUGUGAGGUGGAGGGGAUUGCUCACCACUAGGACCAAGGGGAAGUCCCUAGUGGUAGCCGUGGAUACCAAAAACACGGCUCACUUUGAUAAAACAGAGCCAUGGGGCAGACACUGCGUUGUGACGUAUUUGUAGCCUCAAUUGAGCGUAUUGAGAUCACAACUCGUACGAGGGAGCUGCUGUUGGGGGAGGAGCCGAACGUUUCAGUGUGCAGGCUUUUUACGAGGAAGUCUCGUGCAUGGACAAAGAUGAUGUGUACAGUUUUAGAGUGCUUGCUUGUGAAGUGGUGAAUGCCAGAUUUCCUGAAGCUGCUGUAUUUCUUGGUCUGCUAUCGAGUAUGGAAGGUGUAUGGCGGGAGCUCCACCCACUCAUCACCUCCUGUGUCUCUCACUCCCCUCAGGACAGACCCUCCAUGGACACUGUGCUACACCACAUCAAACAAUUGGACUCUGAGUCUUAGCAUUGGUGCAUGAGUGUGUUAUUAUUAAUUGAAUAAUAAAAUUUUUUUAGUGA